rnacentral:rRNA from 1 species
GGCGAACGCUGGCGGCGUGCCUAAUACAUGCAAGUUGAGCGCUGAAGGUUGGUACUUGUACCGACUGGAUGAACAGCGAACGGGUGAGUAACGCGUGGGGAAUCUGCCUUUGAGCGGGGGACAACAUUUGGAAACGAAUGCUAAUACCGCAUAAAAACUUUAAACACAAGUUUUAAGUUUGAAAGAUGCAAUUGCAUCACUCAAAGAUGAUCCCGCGUUGUAUUAGCUAGUUGGUGAGGUAAAGGCUCACCAAGGCGAUGAUACAUAGCCGACCUGAGAGGGUGAUCGGCCACAUUGGGACUGAGACACGGCCCAAACUCCUACGGGAGGCAGCAGUAGGGAAUCUUCGGCAAUGGACGAAAGGCUGACCGAGCAACGCCGCGUGAGUGAAGAAGGGUUUCGGAUCGUAAAACUCUGUUGGUAGAGAAGAACGUUGGUGAGAGUGGAAAGCUCAUCAAGUGACGGUAACUACCCAGAAAGGGACGGCUAACUACGUG